GGUGAAACGGUGCGGUAAGAGCGCACCGCCCCGCCGGCAACGGCGGGGGCACGGUAAACCCCAUGCGGAGCAAGGCCAAAUAGGGAGACGGCGGGCGCCAGUCCCACCCCGCUUUCGGGCGGGCCGUCUCCGGGUCGGCUGCUUGAGCCCGAGGGAAACCUCGGGACGAGAGGAAUGAUCACGGGCCCGGGCGACCGGGUCACAGAAUUCGGCUUACCGGCCCGCUCGGGCU
rnacentral:RNase_P_RNA from 1 species